UUCAGUCUUUGUUUCAUGUAAAUACACCAAGUAAAACUUAAAUUAUGAAAAUUUCAAUCCCAUGAAAAAAGUGCGUCAAAAUAUGCGCUCUUUUUUUGCGCACGUUGUAUUUAUUACAAUAUUUUUGUCGUCUUUUGACAUAAAAUUAAACGGAAAAAAGAAUGGGGGUUUGGGUUAUUAUUACUGGUUUUCGGAGUAUUUUGGGUAGUUUUGGGGAUAUAUUGAGUAUUUCAGGAAUACAUUUGGAAUUAUUUGGGGGAAAAUGAGGCUGACACCAUGUACAACAUGCCCUCGACUUGUUAUUUCAACAUAGAGGCGAAGAACUAGAGGGAGCCUGAAGACCCAGACAUUGUUGUUGACAACAAGAGAGAAUGAAGAGCCAUUUUCACUCAAGGGCCAAUGAUGACAUCAAGUGGCUAUAAAAAGGUACCUCACUCCAUAAAAGUAAGUUUUAGGACUGUGAUGUAGCCCUCUGUCUCAUAUUUUGGACAUAAACUGCUUUGAGGAGUGGCACAGAUCAAAAAAAGGAAAAACGCAUAUGGCUAGACCUGCUUUCUAUGUAAAUAGUUGUAUAUAGCUUGAUUAUAUCUCAACUUUACCUUUUAUAUGUUCACAUAUGCAACUUGUGCUUCAGUUUCAAAC